CGAUCAAUGGUUCAGAUUCAUCCCACCACAACAGAUGGCUGGAUCCAACUCGAACCGUCCAUUACACGAUCGAUGAUGGCGCGGUCAUCGUCUUCCUUCAGUUGUGUCGAACGGCGGAACAUAGUCCGCAUGACCGAUGCCCACCGGAGUCCCACCCUGGCGCGACACCACAACAAUGCGCCCCUAGAUUGAUCCCACAUGAUCACUAGCCCAAGGCAAACCGAGUGGGGAAGGACUUACCAGAUGUUUGGCAACAGAGAGUAGAUGUCCACGCACCACAUAGAUCCACGGCCAAGUCCGAGCGGCGGCGAGAAAUUACGGGCACCCUAAUGGCUCCCGCACUCCCUGGCUGCCACCACCGUGAGCGCAAUACCACGAUGAAGGUCCCGACCCAAUCUAGGCGCCAACUAUCUCACAGAAGGGAUUUCCCCCCGUGGGGGCUUCCUCC
rnacentral:lncRNA from 7 species